rnacentral:rRNA from 1 species
GACGAACGCUGGCGGCGUGCUUAACACAUGCAAGUCGAACGGUGAAGCGCCUUCCUUUUUGGUGGGUGUGGAUGAGUGGCGAACGGGUGAGUAACACGUGAGUAACCUGCCCCCUUCUUCUGGAUAACCGCAUGAAAGUGUGGCUAAUACGGGAUAUUCUGGGUCUGUCGCAUGAUGGGUCUGGGAAAGAUAUUGUUUCGGUGGGGGAUGGGCUCGCGGCCUAUCAGCUUGUUGGUGGGGUGAUGGCCUACCAAGGCGGUGACGGGUAGCCGGCCUGAGAGGGUGGACGGUCACACUGGGGAUGAGACACGGCCCAGACGCCUACGGGAGGCAGCAGUGGGGAAUAUUGCACAAUGGGGGCAAGCCUGAUGCAGCGACGCCGCGUGAGGGAUGGAGGCCUUCGGGUUGUGAACCUCUUUCGCCAGUGAAGCAGGCCUGCCUCGUUUGUGGGUGGGUUGACGGUAGCUGGAUAAGAAGCGCCGGCUAACUACGUG